CUGCUUCGACAGUUCCAAUUUCGUGACUGGUAUCAUUUGAUUCAUCCUGUAUAUAUACCCAGGAAAUUGCAGGAAUAUAAUUGUAUUCUGAGUCACAUUGAGAACCAUGAGUGCUGGAAAAUAUAUGUUUUCCCAAUAGCUUUUUAGUACUCCUUCACAUGUGAAUUCGAACUUCCGUCCCUUAAGCUACGUCACACGGCUCUCGCCCCAGACCCUUUUCCGUUUUUUUCUCGGGCGCGACAAUUUUUCGCUAAAAGCCAAUUUUUCAAGGUUUAGAACCUCAUAUCUCGCGAAUGAAAAGAGAAAACCGAAAAAUGUUAAAGAACCUAUUAACUAACUUUUUGUCCU